CAUUUCUCCACAGGAGUGACACUAAGAACACAUAUGGUGGAAUUGCAAUUUACAUAUAUAAAAGGUGCAUUGAUAUGUUGUAUAAUUGUACAAACAUCUAAUGCACAUACUUUUGUUUGUAAAGUCUUGUCGGCAAUCCGUAUGUGUUCUCAGGUCACCCCUUUGGAGCACCA
rnacentral:pre_miRNA from 2 species